rnacentral:rRNA from 1 species
AGCAAUUGGAGGGCAAGUCUGGUGCCAGCAGCCGCGGUAAUUCCAGCUCCAAUAGCGUAUAUUAAACUUGUUGCAGUUAAAAAGCUCGUAGUUGUAUUUUUGCGUUAGCGGUUUGACCAUUUGGUUGGUUAUUUCGUUUUCGCUUUUGGGAAUUUCCCUUUUUACUUUGAGAAAAUUAGAGUGUUUCAAGCAGACUUUUGUCUUGAAUACUUCAGCAUGGAAUAAUAGAGUAGGACUUUGGUUCUAUUUUGUUGGUUAUUGAACCUUAGUAAUGGUUAAUAGGAACGGUUGGGGGCAUUCGUAUUUAACUGUCAGAGGUGAAAUUCUUAGAUUUGUUAAAGACGAACUACUGCGAAAGCAUUUGCCAAGGACGUUUCCAUUAAUCAAGAACGAAAGUUAGGGGAUCGAAGACGAUCAGAUACCGU